UGGGGAAUUUUGGACAAUGGGCGCAAGCCUGAUCCAGCCAUGCCGCGUGCGGGAAGAAGGCCUUCGGGUUGUAAACCGCUUUUGUCAGGGAAGAAAAGGUUCUGGCUAAUACCUGGGACUCAUGACGGUACCUGAAGAAUAAGCACCGGCUAACUACGUGCCAGCAGCCGCGGUAAUACGUAGGGUGCAAGCGUUAAUCGGGAAUUACUGGGCGUAAAGCGUGCGCAGGCGGUUAUGCAAGACAGAGGUGAAAUCCCCGGGCUCAACCUGGGAACUGCCUUUGUGACUGCAUGGCUAGAGUACGGUAGAGGGGGAUGGAAUUCCGCGUGUAGCAGUGAAAUGCGUAGAUAUGCGGAGGACACCGAUGGCGAAGGCAAUCCCCUGGACCUGUACUGACGCUCAUGCACGAAAGCGUGGGGAGCAAACAGGAUUAGAUACCCUGGUAGUCCACGCCCUAAACGAUGUCAACUGGUGUUGGGAGGGUUUCU
rnacentral:rRNA from 1 species